GACGAACGCUGGCGGCGUGCCUAAUACAUGCAAGUCGAGCGAGGUUGUUUGGAAUGCUUGCAUUUCAAACAACCUAGCGGCGGACGGGUGAGUAACACGUGGGCAACCUGCCCUGUAGACUGGGAUAACUUCGGGAAACCGGAGCUAAUACCGGAUAAUUCUUUUAGCCUCAUGGCUUUAAGCUAAAAGGCGCUUCGGCGUCACUACAGGAUGGGCCCGCGGUGCAUUAGCUAGUUGGUGGGGUAACGGCCUACCAAGGCAACGAUGCAUAGCCGACCUGAGAGGGUGAUCGGCCACAUUGGGACUGAGACACGGCCCAAACUCCUACGGGAGGCAGCAGUAGGGAAUCUUCCACAAUGGACGAAAGUCUGAUGGAGCAACGCCGCGUGAGUGAUGAAGGUUUUCGGAUCGUAAAACUCUGUUGUAAGGGAAGAACAAGUGCGUUAGGUAAUGAACGCACCUUGACGGUACCUUAUUAGAAAGCCACGGCUAACUACGUGCCAGCCGCCGCAGUAA
rnacentral:rRNA from 1 species